AGAGUUUGAUCAUGGCUCAGGAUAAACGCUGGCGGCGCACAUAAGACAUGCAAGUCGAACGGACAGAAUCCGAAUGUUUCAUUUGGGGGAUGUUAGUGGCGGACUGGUGAGUAACGCGUAAGGAACCUGCCUAUUAGAGGGGAAUAACAGUGAGAAAUCAUUGCUAAUACCGCAUAUACCAUAAUAGUUGCAUGACUGAAAUGGGAAGGGAGAAAUCCGCUAAUAGAUGGCCUUGCGUCUGAUUAGGUAGUUGGUGGGGUAAAGGCCUACCAAGCCGACGAUCAGUAGCCGGACUGAGAGGUUGAACGGCCACAUUGGGACUGAGAUACGGCCCAGACUCCUACGGGAGGCAGCAGUCGGGAAUAUUGCGCAAUGGAGGAAACUCUGACGCAGUGACGCCGCGUAUAGGAAGAAGGUUUUCGGAUUGUAAACUAUUGUCGUUAGGGAAGAGAAAGGACAGUACCUAAGGAGGAAGCUCCGGCUAACUACGUGCCAGCAGCCGCGGUAAUACGUAGGGAGCAAGCGUUAUCCGGAAUUAUUGGGUGUAAAGGGUGCGUAGACGGGAAUACAAGUUAGUUGUGAAAUCCCUCGGCUUAACUGAGGAACUGCAACUAAAACUAUAUUUCUUGAGUGCAGGAGAGGUAAUUGGAAUUCCUAGUGUAGCGGUGAAAUGCGUAGAUAUUAGGAGGAACACCAGUGGCGAAGGCGACUUACUGGACUGUAACUGACGUUGAGGCACGAAAGUGUGGGGAGCAAACAGGAUUAGAUACCCUGGUAGUCCAGGGCGAUUCGUUAACCUGCAGGACUAGUCCUU
rnacentral:rRNA from 1 species